CCUACGGGGGGCAGCAGUGAGGAAUAUUGGUCAAUGGCCGAGAGGCUGAACCGGCCAAGUCGCGUGAGGGAAGACGGCCCUACGGGUUGUAAACCUCUUUUGUCGGGGAGCAAAGCGAGUCACGUGUGACUCAUUGAGAGUACCCGAAGAAAAAGCAUCGGCUAACUCCGUGCCAGCAGCCGCGGUAAUACGUAUGGGGCAAGCGUUAUCCGGAUUUACUGGGUGUAAAGGGAGCGCAGGCGGCUUGGCAAGUCUGAUGUGAAAGGCUGGGGCUCAACCCCAGGACUGCAUUGGAAACUGUUAGG
rnacentral:rRNA from 1 species